rnacentral:rRNA from 1 species
GCAAGUCGAACGGCAGCACGGGGGCAACCCUGGUGGCGAGUGGCGAACGGGUGAGUAACAUAUCGGAACGUGCCCUGGAGUGGGGGAUAACUAGUCGAAAGAUUAGCUAAUACCGCAUACGAUCUACGGAUGAAAGUGGGGGAUCGCAAGACCUCAUGCUCGUGGAGCGGCCGAUAUCUGAUUAGCUAGUUGGUGGGGUAAAGGCCUACCAAGGCAUCGAUCAGUAGCUGGUCUGAGAGGACGACCAGCCACACUGGGACUGAGACACGGCCCAGACUCCUACGGGAGGCAGCAGUGGGGAAUUUUGGACAAUGGGCGCAAGCCUGAUCCAGCAAUGCCGCGUGAGUGAAGAAGGCCUUCGGGUUGUAAAGCUCUUUUGUCAGGGAAGAAACGGUUCGGGUUAAUACCUUGGGCUAAUGACGGUACCUGAAGAAUAAGCACCGGCUAACUACGUGCCAGCAGCCGCGGUAAUACGUAGGGUGCAAGCGUUAAUCGGAAUUACUGGGCGUAAAGCGUGCGCAGGCGGUUGUGCAAGACAGAUGUGAAAUCCCCGGGCUCAACCUGGGAAUUGCAUUUGUGACUGUACGGCUAGAGUGUGUCAGAGGGGGGUAGAAUUCCACGUGUAGCAGUGAAAUGCGUAGAGAUGUGGAGGAAUACCGAUGGCGAAGGCAGCCCCCUGGGAUAACACUGACGCUCAUGCACGAAAGCGUGGGGAGCAAACAGGAUUAGAUANCNCUGGUAGUCCACGCCCUAAACGAUGUCUACUAGU